UGGAGUAUAGUGUAGUGGCAGCACAUAGGCCUCUGACUCCUAUGGUGUAGGUUCGAUUCCUACUACUCCUGCCA
rnacentral:tRNA from 1 species